UGUAUCCCUGUAUCCUGUUUAUUCACUAUAGUUGAAUCAGCCAUUUUGAAACACAUGCUAGUCUAGCUACUGUUUCUGUGCCCGUGCAACAUUAAUAUCCGUAGUUUCAGCACUGUGAUCCCUAAAAUCAAGAGCAUCCUGAGCUUAUCUUGACCUUAAUAUUCAUUUGCAUGAGGACAGGGUGCUAUUUUCUAAUGUUUUCAUAUUGAGUUGUCUAAAUAUAUGCAUAGACUGUAAGUGCAGAGGUAUUAUUAAAUUAUAAAACUGAUGCUUGUUUCCUUUUAAGUUUGGUGGCAUAUUGUACCUGAUGCUUUAUUUAAUAGGCUUCUUAAGAAAACAAAACAAUAAACUAAGUGCAAUGACUUGUACAUAAAUCAAAAGCAUUUGGUGCAAAUAUAUGGCUAUGUAUAACUUGAUAAUCUACCAUGUUUUUUUGAAUUUUUUUUGCUCUUAUCUGUAAUGUCAUCAAAAAGUAGUGAUUGGAAUGUCAAUGAGAUCAAGUACGGGUAGGAAAUUUUCUUAAGUUCUUACUGUUAUAAUUGAUUAUCCUGAAUUUUUAUGGGAAUUUGAUGUUACUUUCACUUGCUAGAUGUUUUAGAUCAUGUUUCAUAUGUUUAUCAAUCUUCUAAAAUCCUGGUUAACUUGCUGCUCUCUUUAUUAUUUUUUUUAUUUACUAGUUACAUUCACACUUAGGUGAUGUGUGCUGGCUUUUCUUUAUGCUCUCUUCAUUGGCAUGCUAUAUGCACAUUUAGCCUAAUUAGCACGAAAGCCCAGAUCCUGUGCAUACUUCAUUAUUGAUGCUUUUUUCAGAUUCUUCUCUUUUAUCCUCUUUUCUCCCUUCUAUUUUAGGUAUUGUGUUCCUGCAGCAUGUACCGUGUGUGGAAGAUACGGUUCUUGGUAUUGUUGUAGAUAGUAAACCAGAUGUAGGUACUUUACUGUAUGCCCGAAUGGUCAAAGCUAAUAACAGCAUGAAUCCUGAACUUUCAUGCACCGAUGCUAGUGGAGAAACUGCCGAGUUUGGUCCUUUGAAAGAUGGUUACAUGUUUGAAACAUCUAGUGGUCUAUCACGGAUGUUGCUAAGCUCUCCAACUUGUCCUGUUAUUGAGAUUCUUGGGAAGAAGCUGUCAUUUGAGAUAGCUAUUGGGCUAAACGGCCGUGUCUGGGUGAAUGCUUCCUCUCCUGCUACAGUCGUUGUAUCAAAUGCAAUCAUCAAUUCAGAGUUUCGAGUGGGACUCAGCAAAGAAUUAUGAUAGGGAAACUCAUGCAGAAGCUUCAAUGAUGGGAAAGAAAGGGGUAUGGCUAAAGUUGCCACUCGAUCGCUCUGAGUUUGUCCCUAUUGCAGUUGAGGUAUAAAACCAUGUUUGUAAUAAUCUGGUUUUUAAUCCAUACCUUCAAAAUGAAGAUGCUGCUGCAUUGUUGUUUGAAAUUAGGUCCUUUAAAGCAGUGAAUUUAGUGAAUAUAUAUAUUAUUCAUGUGUUUAACGAACAUCUGAAUAUCGACGAGUAUCCUUUUCAUUUUUAAAUGAUUACCGAUCUACCUGAAGCCUGAGUGCUGUAUUUUUGUUUUCUUCCAAAUUUUGUUUGAUCAAUUUGUAUCACAGUUUUUCACCUUCACCUAACAUAGUAGGCUCUGUGUCACAUCAUGGUGCAUAUUGCUAAAAGGAAUCGAUAUCAGAAGAAUAUAACGACUUAUUUCUGGAGAAACUUUGUCAUAUUGGGUGUCAGUAUUACGGGUGACUCGAGACCAGUGGUUGAACACUGAGGAGUUCAUUGAUGCAGUGGCAAAGGAGCUGAGAGCAAGACUCCUGGGCAAAUGAAAUUUGUAAAUUCUACUAAAGAAAUUUGUAAAUCAUUUGUCGCCAAAAUCAUUUGUAAAUGAACACUGAGGAGUUGCUUCUUAUGUCCGUUUGAGUGUGCCUUGGAGUCACUUUUGCAUGCUAUUUUUUCAUUUAUCACCAAAAUGAUUGUUGCUGACUU